rnacentral:rRNA from 1 species
GAUUGAACGCUGGCGGCAGGCCUAACACAUGCAAGUCGAGCGGUAGCACAGAGAGCUUGCUCUCGGGUGACGAGCGGCGGACGGGUGAGUAAUGUCUGGGAAACUGCCUGGUGGAGGGGGAUAACUACUGGAAACGGUAGCUAAUACCGCAUAAUGUCGCAAGACCAAAGUGGGGGACCUUCGGGCCUCAUGCCAUCAGAUGUGCCCAGAUGGGAUUAGCUAGUAGGUGGGGUAACGGCUCACCUAGGCGACGAUCCCUAGCUGGUCUGAGAGGAUGACCAGCCACACUGGAACUGAGACACGGUCCAGACUCCUACGGGAGGCAGCAGUGGGGAAUAUUGCACAAUGGGCGCAAGCCUGAUGCAGCCAUGCCGCGUGUGUGAAGAAGGCCUUCGGGUUGUAAAGCACUUUCAGCGGGGAGGAAGGCGUUAAGGUUAAUAACCUUGGCGAUUGACGUUACCCGCAGAAGAAGCACCGGCUAACUCCGUGCCAGCAGCCGCGGUAAUACGGAGGGUGCAAGCGUUAAUCGGAAUUACUGGGCGUAAAGCGCACGCAGGCGGUCUGUCAAGUCGGAUGUGAAAUCCCCGGGCUCAACCUGGGAACUGCAUUCGAAACUGGCAGGCUAGAGUCUUGUAGAGGGGGGUAGAAUUCCAGGUGUAGCGGUGAAAUGCGUAGAGAUCUGGAGGAUUACCGGUGGCGAAUGCGCGGCCCCCUGGACAAAGACUGACGCUCAGGUGCGAAAGCGUGGGGAGCAAACAGGAUUAGAUACCCUGGUAGUCCACGCCGUAAACGAUGUCGAUUUGGAGGUUGUGCCCUUGAGGCGUGGCUUCCGGAGCUAACGCGUUAAAUCGACCGCCUGGGGAGUACGGCCGCAAGGUUAAAACUCAGAUGAAUUGACGGGGGCCCGCACAAGCGGUGGAGCAUGUGGUUUAAUUCGAUGCAACGCGAAGAACCUUACCUGGUCUUGACAUCCACAGAACUUUCCAGAGAUGGAUUGGUGCCUUCGGGAACUGUGAGACAGGUGCUGCAUGGCUGUCGUCAGCUCGUGUUGUGAAAUGUUGGGUUAAGUCCCGCAACGAGCGCAACCCUUAUCCUUUGUUGCCAGCGGUCCGGCCGGGAACUCAAAGGAGACUGCCAGUGAUAAACUGGAGGAAGGUGGGGAUGACGUCAAGUCAUCAUGGCCCUUACGACCAGGGCUACACACGUGCUACAAUGGCAUAUACAAAGAGAAGCGACCUCGCGAGAGCAAGCGGACCUCAUAAAGUAUGUCGUAGUCCGGAUUGGAGUCUGCAACUCGACUCCAUGAAGUCGGAAUCGCUAGUAAUCGUAGAUCAGAAUGCUACGGUGAAUACGUUCCCGGGCCUUG